rnacentral:rRNA from 1 species
GGACGGGGAUAACCUCGGGAAACUGAGAAUAAUACCAGAUAGAACAUUAUACCUGGAAUGGUUUAUGUUUCAAAUAAUUUAUUGCCGUAGGAUGGGACUGCGGCCUAUCAGUUUGUUGGUGAGGUAAUGGCCCACCAAGACUAUUACAGGUACGGGCUCUGAGAGGAGUAGCCCGGAGAUGGGUACUGAGACACGGACCCAGGCCCUAUGGGGCGCAGCAGGCGAGAAAACUUUGCAAUGUGCGAAAGCACGACAAGGUUAAUCCGAGUGGUUUCUGCUAAAGGAACCUUUUGUUAGUCAUAGAACCACUAAUGAAUAAGGGGUGGGCAAGUUCUGGUGUCAGCCGCCGCGGUAAAACCAGCACCUCAAGUGGUCAGGAUGAUUAUUGGGCCUAAAGCAUCCGUAGCCGGCUCUGUAAGUUUUCGGUUAAAUCUGUGCGCUCAACGUACAGGCUGUCGGGAAUACUGCAGAGCUAGGGAGUGGGAGAGGUAGACGGUACUCGGUAGGAAGGGGUAAAAUCCUUUGAUCUAUCGAUGACCACCUGUGGCGAAGGCGGUCUACCAGAACACGUCCGACGGUGAGGGAUGAGAGCUGGGGGAGCAAACCGGAUUAGAUACCCGGGUAGUCCCAGCUGUAAACUAUGCAAACUCAGUGAUGCACUGGCUUGUGGCCAGUGCAGUGUUGCAGGGAAGCCGUUAAGUUUGCCGCCUGGGAAGUACGUACGCAAGUAUGAAACUUAAA